GACGAACGCUGGCGGCGUGCUUAACACAUGCAAGUCGAACGGAAAGGCCCUGCUUUUGUGGGGUGCUCGAGUGGCGAACGGGUGAGUAACACGUGAGUAACCUGCCCUUGACUUUGGGAUAACUUCAGGAAACUGGGGCUAAUACCGGAUAGGAGCUCCUGCUGCAUGGUGGGGGUUGGAAAGUUUCGGCGGUUGGGGAUGGACUCGCGGCUUAUCAGCUUGUUGGUGGGGUAGUGGCUUACCAAGGCUUUGACGGGUAGCCGGCCUGAGAGGGUGACCGGCCACAUUGGGACUGAGAUACGGCCCAGACUCCUACGGGAGGCAGCAGUGGGGAAUAUUGCACAAUGGGCGGAAGCCUGAUGCAGCAACGCCGCGUGUGGGAUGACGGCCUUCGGGUUGUAAACCGUUUUCGCCUGUGACGAAGCGUGAGUGACAGUAAUGGGUAAAGAAGCACCGGCUAACUACGUG
rnacentral:rRNA from 1 species